CUUCUUUCCCUCCCUCCUAGCCAGGCACCAAGUCCUCAUUAUCUGAGUCACAAAGGAGGAUCACAAAAAAGCAUCUCGGACAUGACAGGAAGGUCUCCCCUCUGGCCAUAAAUACAACUCUCUAUGAAGUGCAUGAAUAGCCCAGAGGGCCCACCCUCCACCUGCACUCAGAAAGGAGAAGCCAUGUGAUCAUCAUACUAUAACAUGGAUCAUAACUCAUGAUCAGAGCCCUUCCCAUGGGCUGGGUGUUGAGCUGGGCUCUUUCAGGCACUUUCUCUUAGUCCUCAUCAAAACUCCAUAAAGCGGGUGCUAUGACUAUCCCUACUCUACAGAGUCACCGAGGCGUACAGAAGCAAUUUCACCAGGGUCAUGCAACUAGUUAGCAGUGGGGCAGGGACCCUCAGGGCUGUCUGAAUACAGACAGUGUUUCUAAUUAUAUCAUACUCAUGUGUAUAGGACUGAACCAGUGUCCAAGUAUACCCAUGUGUUCUUCUACCAAUGAGGACCCCAGCAUGUACCAUGAAGCUACUCUUUUUUUCUCUCUGAUGAGCAACACCCCUGCGUGCAUGGAUGAAAAGCCUUUUUGCACACAGGGAUACCUGCCUAGGUCAUAGUGAUGCCGUCCCUGUGAACGCCAUUCUGUGUUCUGGACCCAGCCUGACAAGACUACCUAGUAUUGGGCUUAAUGAUGAACCCACUUUCACAUACACCCGUAUGCAUCUUCCAGGAGUACUGGACUCCAGAGACCAGGAUUGACAGGAGAGGAGGUCCCAGUCAUAUCCACUGUUCAUCAAUAUCCAGCUCUCCUCUCCUACCUGGAUACAUGGCAGUCUAUACUUUCCAGCUUCCCUUGCAGGUAGGCAGACAUUAUGACUAGUUCUGACCAAUUGACAGUGAGUGGACUUGACAUGUGAAACUUCUGAGCUGAAGCAGUGAAAAAUCCCUGCAGGAUCUUCCAGCUUUCCCUUAUUCUUUGUUGGAGAUAAUGGAAGCAGCAUGUUGACAUGGUUGGGACAUAAGAUCAAAGCAACCUGGAUAACUGGGUUAACACAUGGAAGACAGCAGCGUUGGAGAAUCACCUGAUUUGCAGUGCAGUUUGUGAGAGAU
rnacentral:lncRNA from 1 species